GAGGGAUUGAGGGCCUGCUCAGUGAGUUUACAUGUUAGAGGGAGUGGGGUAUAGUGACACAGUAACAGAGGGAUUGAGGGCCUGCUCAGUGAGUUUACAUGUUAGAGGGAGUGGGGUAUAGUGACAGUAACAGAGGGAUUGAGGGCCUGCUCAGUGAGGUUACAUGUUAGAGGGAGUGGGGUAUAGUGACACAGUAACAGAGGGAUUGAGGGCCCUGCUCAGUGAGUUUACAUGUUAG